rnacentral:rRNA from 1 species
UACGGGGGGGGCAAGCGUUGUUCGGAAUUACUGGGCGUAAAGGGCUCGUAGGCGGCCAACUAAGUCAGACGUGAAAUCCCUCGGCUUAACCGGGGAACUGCGUCUGAUACUGGAUGGCUGGAGUUUGGGAGAGGGAUGCGGAAUUCCAGGUGUAGCGGUGAAAUGCGUAGAUAUCUGGAGGAACACCGGUGGCGAAGGCGGCAUCCUGGACCAAUACUGACGCUGAGGAGCGAAAGCCAGGGGAGCAAAACGGG